CUGAGACAGGACCCGCACUAACAUUCUACUUUGCAGCCUUUGCAGAAGUGACUUCAGCAAAUCAUCCUAAAAUGAAACAAUUAACCACAAAGCACUUAGCCCCCAAAUGUCAAUCAAAA